rnacentral:lncRNA from 1 species
GUCCACGCUGACGGCCUGCUUGUGGUGCCCACAGUCCGAGCGUGGCUACCAUCGAGGGGGCGGGUGAAAGGGGCACAGAGCUCCGCAUGCUAUUUCUUAACGCUGCUUGUGAAUCUACGGCUAUCUCAAAAUAUGUUCACUUUUCUUUUUUUUUUUUUUACAUGUGUGAACGUUCCCGGGCUGAAUGUUAAGAUCACGCUGCAGUCUUCCUGCACAGGAGGCGACUAGUGCUCUAAUGUUAGGACCCCACCUGGCUCCUAGCUGCCGCCCCCUCACCUCGCCGUCAGCGCGGGGCUGGAAACGAGGCGGAGAGGCAGAGGCGGCCCGGCCUCCCCGUGCAGCAGCCAAGGACUUGGCCCCCGUCCUGGCCACGAGUCGGUGGCCCUCGCCCGGCUGCCCGAGGACAGCGCCCCGGAAUCGCGCGCCCGUGGUGCAUGGUGCGAGGACCGCGCAGCCAUCCCAGACGCGCCGCACAGCUCUUCCAGCAAAAACGGCCCAGAGUUCGAGUUAAAACACAUCUGCUGGAGGCCUUGUGUUGGUGCUCGUUGCGUGCUCCACGUCAAAUCGCGGAAGAGGUUUUAAGCUCGCACACCUGGCGGAGCUGCUUGGGUCCCCUCCUCUGGCGGGGCCGAUCCAGGCUUCGCCGUGUCCCCCGCACGAGGAAGUCCUGUCCUCGCCGACGUCGCUGCGCAGAGGAAGGGGGAGGAUGCCUACUUGUUUAAUUGUGAAAAUUCUGUCGCACUGUGUUCUGGAAGGGACCCUCUCAUUCUGUCCGACCUAGUUUAAGGUGGCGGUAACAUCGCGAUUAACAGCUGAAGACGGAAAACGCACCCUUCUCCCUUAUUAAAGAGGCGUUCUUUGGUUUU